rnacentral:lncRNA from 1 species
CUGGCUUGCUAGUGCAGCUCCCGCUUCCUGGUGCAGUGGUGAUGUGAUGGCAAGCUCUCUCUGUGUGUGAUAGAGUUGAGUGGGAAGUGGCAUUCUUCACUUCAGGAUGAAAAGGAGAGACAAAAGCACGUGACUCUGAAUGGGGUGGAAGAAGCUGAUGAAGUUUGCCAGAAACAAGCACCAGUUUGCGUGUGGGGGUGUCACUGUCCAAAGAUUUGCUAGGAGAAGAAUAUGGCUCUUCCCUCCAAUCCCCAAACUAGACCUUGGACCAUCUCUCCACUGGACCACCAGCUACAAUGUCAACAGCUCCACAACUUGCAAGUCUUGCCAAAGUGUUUUAAAGGAUGAUUUAUUAAAGGAAAAUCUAAAUUAGCAAUUGGAUAUAUUCCACUAUAGGAACUUAAGACCACUCAUUAAUUCUACAACGACUUUCUGAGCACCUACCAGUGGGCCAGGCUGGGGAAAC